UAUUAUAGGCCUAUCGCGCAAAACCUGUGUAAGCAACGUUGAGUCCAGUUAGUACUUGGAUCGGAGACGGCCUGGGAAUCCUGGAUGUUGUAAGCU
rnacentral:rRNA from 1 species